AGUGAACGUUGGCGGCGUGGAUUAGGCAUGCAAGUCGAGCGAGAACCGUAGCAAUACGGGGACAGCGGCGAAAGGGACAGUAACGUGUAGGUACCUACCUCCGGGUUCGGGAUAGCUGCGGGAAACUGCAGGUAAUACCGAAUAACGUCUCCGGACCAAAGGUGUGAUUCCACCUGGAGAGGGGCCUGCAUCCUAUUAGCUUGUUGGCGGGGUAACGGCCCACCAAGGCGACGAUGGGUAGCGGGUGUGAGAGCACGACCCGCGUCAUGGGGACUGAGACACUGCCCAGACACCUACGGGUGGCUGCAGUCGAGGAUCUUCGGCAAUGGGCGCAAGCCUGACCGGGCGACGCCGCGUGCGGGAUGAAGGCCUUCGGGUUGUAAACCGCUGUCGUAGAGGAGGAAGUGCAGGGGGGUUCUCCCCUCUGUUUGACCUAUUCUAGGAGGAAGGACGGGCUAAGUUCGUGCCAGCCGCCGCCGUAA
rnacentral:rRNA from 1 species